rnacentral:rRNA from 1 species
GACGAACGCUGGCGGCGUGCUUAACACAUGCAAGUCGAACGGAAAGGCCCUGCUUGCAGGGUACUCGAGUGGCGAACGGGUGAGUAACACGUGGGUGAUCUGCCCUGCACUUCGGGAUAAGCCUGGGAAACUGGGUCUAAUACCGGAUAGGAGCCAUUUUUAGUGUGAUGGUUGGAAAGUUUUUUCGGUGUAGGAUGAGCUCGCGGCCUAUCAGCUUGUUGGUGGGGUAAUGGCCUACCAAGGCGGCGACGGGUAGCCGGCCUGGGAGGGUGGACGGCCACAAUGGGACUGAGAUACGGCCCAGACUCCUACGGGAGGCAGCAGUGGGGAAUAUUGCACAAUGGGCACAAGCCUGAUGCAGAGACGCCGCGUGGGGGAUGACGGCCUUCGGGUUGUAAACUCCUUUCGCUAGGGACGAAGCUUUUUGUGACGGUACCUAGAUAAGAAGCACCGGCUAACUACGUG